UGGGGAAUAUUGCGCAAUGGGGGGAACCCUGACGCAGCCAUGCCGCGUGAAUGAAGAAGGCCUUCGGGUUGUAAAGCUCUUUCGGUAUUGAGGAAGGUUGAUGUGUUAAUAGCACAUCAAAUUGACGUUAAAUACAGAAGAAGCACCGGCUAACUCCGUGCCAGCAGCCGCGGUAAUACGGAGGGUGCGAGCGUUAAUCGGAAUAACUGGGCGUAAAGGGCACGCAGGCGGUUAUUUAAGUGAGGUGUGAAAGCCCUGGGCUUAACCUAGGAAUUGCAUUUCAGACUGGGUAACUAGAGUACUUUAGGGAGGGGUAGAAUUCCACGUGUAGCGGUGAAAUGCGUAGAGAUGUGGAGGAAUACCGAAGGCGAAGGCAGCCCCUUGGGAAUGUACUGACGCUCAUGUGCGAAAGCGUGGGGAGCAAACAGGAUUAGAUACCCUGGUAGUCCACGCUGUAAACGCUGUCGAUUUGGGGGUUGGGGUUUAACUCUGGCGCCCGUAGCUAACGUGAUAAAUCGACCGCCUGGGGAGUACGGCCGCAAGGUUA
rnacentral:rRNA from 1 species